rnacentral:misc_RNA from 1 species
CUAAGGAGCACUUCUCCGGACAUGCCCGCACAGGUGGGAAUGUUGUUCCGGCAGAGACCGUUUCGGGCUCACACGUAGUCCGGCGGACGCUCAUGGGUGGAACGCUGACAGCUUCAUCGCACUCGAUCAGGGCUCAGUUCCUGGUCGCGGUGAUAUACCGACACACUAUUGGGUCCUGAAAGAACACGCGGAAGCGGGUUUUUUCCAGGCAAGAUAACGAUCCGCUCGGAUCUUCGUUCAGUACCGCAGGGCGUGCCCUGGCUGGCUUCGAGAUUCUGGUUCGAGUGGGUGUGUUGUUUGAGAACUGCACAGUGGACGCGAGCAUCUUUGUUAGUAAGUGUUUAAGAGCGUAC